GCCUGGGUGGCUCAGUAGGUUGGGCAUCUGACUUCGGCUCAGGUCAUGAUCACGGUUUGUGAGUUCGAGCCCCAUGUCAGGCU
rnacentral:tRNA from 1 species